CCUGGCCGGGGCGGGCCAAUGGCAGUGGCGGGAACGUGUUAUAUGGAUGACCUCUGCCGCAGCUGCCGCUGGGCUCUGGAGGCAGAAGCCGCCCUGAGAAGUGCACAAUAGGCCGGGCGCGGUGGCUCACGCCUGUAAUCCCAGCACUUUGGGAGGCCGAGGCGGGUGGAUCACAAGGUCCGGAGAUCGAGACCAUCCUGGCUAACACGGUGAAACCCCGUCUCUCCUAAAACCGCAAGACUCCGUCUCCAAAAAAAAAAAGAAAAAGAGAAGCGCACCAUGGACCAAGAGCUCUUGCUGGAGAGGCGCCGCCGCCGAACCCGCAGCCAGACGCCCCUCAGUAGCGCCUGCAUCGGGUGCCGCGGCUCUCGCCCUGCACUAGGCGAUGCUGAAGCCACAGAAGAUACCGCAGUGGGAGAACCAGCAUGAGCUGCUGCCCCCAAGGAACCUCGAAGUGCAGGCAGAGGACCAGCCAUCCCAGCAGCACAGGUAAAGUGUGUCACCUGUCAGGUGGGCUUGGGGUGAGGGGGUGGGGGAAGUGUGUGUGCAAAGGGGGUGUGUGUAUGCGUGUGAGCACGUGUGAUGGCUAGUGUGCCUGCAUGUGAGGGACUGUGAACAAGUGUGCGAGGGUGUGUGUGCAAAUGUGUAUGCCUAUGAGAAUAUGUGUCUGUGGAUGAGUGCAUUUGAAAGCAUGUGUGUGGUCAUGAGGGUAAGUUAGUGACUGAAUACGCAGGAUAUGUGAGUGUGCAUGGAACACUGUGGCAAGUGUGUAGGCAUGUGAGGACAGGCAGAAGUGUGUCAGUGUUGUGAUGAGAGUGUGAAUGAGUGUGCAAAAAGGUGUGGAGUGAAUGUGCAUGGAAGUGUGUGUGUAAACUAUGAAGGCAUGUAGUGUGUCAGUGUGUGCAGUGCAAGCGUGUGUGGGAAUGAGUGCUUGUGGGUGUGCCCACAUCCAAUGGGUAUGUGUGAAAGCAUGUAAAAAUGUGUGUAGUGUGAUGGUGUGUGGAUGUAUCAGUGUGUAUAAAUGAGAGCAUGUAAAUGUGAGUGUUGAAUGAGUGUAUAAGUGAGUGUGCAUACGUGAGGCUGUGCGUGAGUGUAACCAUGAGGGUGUGAACGUGCUUAAGUGUAUGUGCAUGUGACAGUGCAAGUGUAGGAGUGUGAUGCAUGUGUGGGUGUGCCAGUGUAUGAGUGUACAUGGUGUGGAUCUGAAUGUGCAAAGGGUGUGAGUGUAUGUGAAUGAGUGGUAGUGUGCAUGCAUGGGUGAGUGCACACUCAGAAGCAUGGAUGGGUGCAAGCCUCCCCUACUAACUCCUGCUCCUUCCUGAGAUCAAAAAAGGAUGUGUUUUCUGUGUUUCAAAAAUGUUUUAAAAUUAUGUACUGUAUUUAAUAGCUCUUAUGACUACAGUGUUUUUCUCUCUGUUUAAAGCGUAGCAGGGGCUGGGCGCAGUGGCUCACACCUGUAAUCCCAGCAUUUUGGGAGGCCAAGGCAAGUGGAUCAGUUGAGAUCAGGAGUUCAAGACCAGCCUGGACAACAUGGUGAAACCCCAUCUCUACUAAAAAUACAAAAAUUAGCCAGGCAUGGUAGCGGGUGCCUGUAAUCCCAGCUACUGGGGAGGCUGAGGUGGGAGAAUCGCUUGAAGUCAGGAGGCUGAGGUUGCAGUGAGCCGAGAUUGCACCACUGCACUCCAGCCUGGGUGACAGAGCGAGACUCUAUGCAAAAAACCCCAAAAAAUCCAACGUAGCUAAAGGCAGUUUGAUGAUAACAGUGACGUUGAAAUGAGAAUUGUGUCAGAAAAACCACAAACAAUAAUGAAAUGGCUCCUAUAUAACCCAUCCCCAAAAACCCACGUAAAGAAGAAAACAGGGCUGGGCGUAGUGGUUCAUGCCUAUAAUUCCAGCACUUUGGGAGGCCCAGAAGGGAGGAUCGCUUGAGCCUAGGAAACCGAGGCCACAGCGAGCUGUAUUUGCGCUACUGUACUUCAGCCUGAGAGGCAGAGUGAAACCUUAUCCCAAAACCAAAAAGACGAAAAGGGUCCUGAGGUAUUAACUCUGAUCGUCAGUGAGUGGAAAGAUUCUGGUAUUCUGGUGUUUUCCAUUUUCUUUUAGCUUAUCUUCAUUUUUGAGUUUUCUGGAAGAGCAUUUAUUGCUUUUUUUCUUUUUGAGACGGAGUCUCCCUCUGUCGCCCGGGCUGGAGUGCAGUGGUAUGAUCUUGGCUCACUGCAACCUCCACUUCCUGGGUUCAAGCAUUUCCUGCCUCAGCCUCCCGAGUAGCUGGGACUACAGGUGCAUGCCACCACGCCCAGCUAAUUUUUUGUAUUUUUUUUUAGUAGAGACAGGGUUUCACCUUGUUAGCCACGAUGGUCUUGAUCUCCUGAUCCUGUGAUCCACCCGCCUCAGCCUCCCAAAGUGCUGGGAUUACAGGCGUGAGCCACUGCGCCCGGUCGCAUUUAUUGCUUUAAGAAAAAAAAAAAUUUGAUGGGAAAAAGCUAAAAUGAGGUUGACUAGGAAAAUAUUACUAAAAACAUUCUCCUUCAUUCACGGACUUUUUUUUUUUUUGAGACAGAAUCUCGUUCUGUCACAUAUGCUGGAGUGCAGUGGUACAAUCUCGGCUCACUGCAACCUUCGCCUCCGAGGUUCAAAUGAAUUCUUGUGCCUCAGCCUCCUGAAUAACUGGGAUUAGAGGCAUGCACCAGCAUGCCCGGCUAAUUUUUGUAUUAGGGUUUUGUCAUGUUGGCCAGGCUGGUCUCGAACCCCUGACCUCAAGUGAUCCACCCGCCUCAGCCUCCCAGAGUGCUAAGCCUCCCAGAGUGCUAAGCCUCCCAGAGUGCUAAGCCUCCCAAGUGUAAGCCACUGCGCCUGGCCCUUGUUUUGGCUAACUCUGUGAGUGAAACUCUUUCUGCCAUGGGAGAUCGUACCUUACCAUUGUUUAUUUCCAGGGUCUCCUGAGAACACAGACCAGAAUUACUGAGGUAAUCUUGGCACAUUUUCUUAACCAUUCUAUGCGACUUUCAAAUUCCUUAUAUGUAGCUGGGAAAAAAGGCUUUGCUAGAUGAUCUUUUUCAACCUUCGUGAAGAUCAAGAUUAAGAAAAAAGUUUAAACCCGAGGCACUGAUAAGGAAAAUACAGAAGAAAACCUAAACAAAGUUUCAGUUCUCAGCCCCUGAGCAGCCACACAGUGGGGGGCGUUUCCUUCACUCCCCAGUGAGUACCUACUGUGUGUUCCGUAUGGCGCAGGGCAGGGAGGAGCAGGCCAAGAAACAAACAAGCCUUGGGGUCGGGGCCACAGAGGGCAUAGUGAGCUCUCAGGAUAGGGCGGGAAGGGAAGGCAGAAAGGCCCUGGGCACAGGCUGGGCUGUCAGCUCCAGAGGGGCGCACUGACCCUGCAUCCAUGGGAAGUGUGGGGCACAGGCAGCCUGGGGCAAGCAGGUACCAGGAGAGCCCAGGCUGGCCAUUAUUUGUGGCUGCAUUUCCAUUUCCAAAAAUGUAUGAUUUUUUCAGUUAAUGGAGAAAAAGCACUGACAAAAUUCAACAUGCUUUCAUGAUUAAAAACACUCAGCAAACUAAGAAUAGAGAAAACUACCUCAACAUAAUAAGUCAUAUACGAAAAAGCCACAUCACACUCAAUGGUGAAAACUGAAAGCUUUUCCUCUAAAAUUAGGAACAAGACAAGGAUGCCUGCAUUCAUUACUUCUAUACAACACAGUGCUAGAAGUUCUAACCAGCACACUUAGGCAAGAAAAAGAAUUAAAGGCAUCAAAGUUGAAAAGAAAGAAGUAAAAUUAUCUCUAUUUGCAGAUAGGAUCUUAUAAGUAGAAAUGCCUAAAGAGCACGCACGCACACACACAAGUUAGAACUAAUAAAUGAGGCCAGACAUGGUGGCUUAUGCCUAUAAUCCCAGCACUUUGGGAGGCAGAGGUGUGCAGAUCACUUGAGGUCAGGCGUUCGAGACCAGCCUCACCAACAUGGCAAAACCCCAUCUCUACAAAAAAAAUACAAAAAUUAGCCAGGCAUGGUGGUGGGCGCCUGUGGUCCCAGCUACUUGGGAGGCUGAGGCACAAGAAUCUCUUGAACCCUGGAGGCAGAGGUUGCAGUGAGCCAAGAUUGUGCUACUGCACUCCAGCCUGGGCGACAGAGCAAGAGAGUGA